rnacentral:rRNA from 1 species
UACAGAGGGUGCGAGCGUUGUCCGGAAUCACUGGGCGUAAAGGGCGCGUAGGUGGUGGCUUAAGCGUGCGGUGAAAGCUCGGGGCUCAACCCCGAGUCGGCCGUGCGAACUGGGCUCACUGGAGCAUAGUAGAGGCAGGUGGAAUUCCGGGUGUGCGGUGGAAUGCGUAGAGAUCCGGAAGAACACCGGUGGCGAAGGCGGCCUGCUGGGCUAUGGCUGACACUGAGGCGCGAAAGCAUGGGGAGCGAACAGG